rnacentral:rRNA from 1 species
UGGGGAAUAUUGCACAAUGGGCGCAAGCCUGAUGCAGCCAUGCCGCGUGUAUGAAGAAGGACUUCGGGUUGUAAAGUACUUUCAGCGGGGAGGAAGGGAGUAAAGUUAAUACCUUUGCUCAUUGACGUUACCCGCAGAAGAAGCACCGGCUAACUCCGUGCCAGCAGCCGCGGUAAUACGGAGGGUGCAAGCGUUAAUCGGAGUUACUGGGCGUAAAGCGCACGCAGGCGGUUUGUUAAGUCAGAUGUGAUAUCCCCGGGCGAAACCUGGGAACUGCAUCUGAUACUGGCAAGCUUGAGUCUCGUAGAGGGGGGUAGAAUUCCAGGUGUAGCGGUGAAAUGCGUAGAGAUCUGGAGGAAUACCGGUGGCGAAGGCGGCCCCCUGGACGAAGACUGACGCUCAGGUGCGAAAGCGUGGGGAGCAAACAGG